rnacentral:tRNA from 1 species
GCGUUCGUGGUGUGGUGGUCUGCACACCGGAUUGUGGCUCCGGAGGUUCUCGGUUCGAAACCGGGCGAGCGCC